AGCUUUGCGCAGUGGCAGUAUCGUAGCCAAUGAGGUUUAUCCGAGGCGCGAUUAUUGCUAAUUGAAAAAAAAAAAAAAAAGACAGGCCAGGAGUGAGAAAAAGUCAAGCUGUGUUAAAUUAAGGAAAAUGGUACUUGGU